rnacentral:rRNA from 1 species
AAUCCAUAGGUUAAUGAGGCGAACCGGGGGAACUGAAACAUCUAAGUACCCCGAGGAAAAGAAAUCAACCGAGAUUCCCCCAGUAGCGGCGAGCGAACGGGGAGGAGCCCAGAGCCUGAAUCAGCAUGUGUGUUAGUGGAAGCGUCUGGAAAGGCGCGCGAUACAGGGUGACAGCCCCGUACACAAAAGCGCAUGUGCUGUGAGCUCGAUGAGUAGGGCGGGACACGUGGUAUCCUGUCUGAAUAUGGGGGGACCAUCCUCCAAGGCUAAAUACUCCUGACUGACCGAUAGUGAACCAGUACCGUGAGGGAAAGGCGAAAAGAACCCCGGCGAGGGGAGUGAAAAAGAACCUGAAACCGUGUACGUACAAGCAGUGGGAGCACAGGUUUACCUGUGUGACUGCGUACCUUUUGUAUAAUGGGUCAGCGACUUAUAUUCUGUAGCAAGGUUAACCGUAUAGGGGAGCCGGAGGGAAACCGAGUCUUAACCGGGCGUUAAGUUGCAGGGUAUAGACCCGAAACCCGGUGAUCUAGCCAUGGGCAGGUUGAAGGUUGGGUAACACUAACUGGAGGACCGAACCGACUAAUGUUGAAAAAUUAGCGGAUGACCUGUGGCUGGGGGUGAAAGGCCAAUCAAACCGGGAGAUAGCUGGUUCUCCCCGAAAGCUAUUUAGGUAGCGCCUCGUGAACUCAUCUCCGGGGGUAGAGCACUGUUUCGGCUAGGGGGCCAUCCCGGCUUACCAACCCGAUGCAAACUGCGAAUACCGGAGAAUGUUAUCACGGGAGACACACGGCGGGUGCUAACGUCCGUCGUGAAGAGGGAAACAACCCAGACCGCCAGCUAAGGUCCCAAAGUCAUGGUUAAGUGGGAAACGAUGUGGGAAGGCCCAGACAGCCAGGAUGUUGGCUUAGAAGCAGCCAUCAUUUAAAGAAAGCGUAAUAGCUCACUGGUCGAGUCGGCCUGCGCGGAAGAUGUAACGGGGCUAAACCAUGCACCGAAGCUGCGGCAGCGACACUGUGUGUUGUUGGGUAGGGGAGCGUUCUGUAAGCCUGUGAAGGUGGCCUGUGAGGGUUGCUGGAGGUAUCAGAAGUGCGAAUGCUGACAUAAGUAACGAUAAAGCGGGUGAAAAGCCCGCUCGCCGGAAGACCAAGGGUUCCUGUCCAACGUUAAUCGGGGCAGGGUGAGUCGACCCCUAAGGCGAGGCCGAAAGGCGUAGUCGAUGGGAAACGGGUUAAUAUUCCCGUACUUGGUGUUACUGCGAAGGGGGGACGGAGAAGGCUAUGUUGGCCGGGCGACGGUUGUCCCGGUUUAAGCGUGUAGGUGUGUGUUCCAGGUAAAUCCGGUUCACUUUAACACUGAGGCGUGAUGACGAGGCACUACGGUGCUGAAGCAACAAAUGCCCUGCUUCCAGGAAAAGCCUCUAAGCAUCAGGUAACACGAAAUCGUACCCCAAACCGACACAGGUGGUCAGGUAGAGAAUACCAAGGCGCUUGAGAGAACUCGGGUGAAGGAACUAGGCAAAAUGGUGCCGUAACUUCGGGAGAAGGCACGCUGACACGUAGGUGAAGUGAUUUACUCAUGGAGCUGAAGUCAGUCGAAGAUACCAGCUGGCUGCAACUGUUUAUUAAA